GACAGAGGCCCCGAGCGUUAAUCGGAAUCACUGGGCUUAAAGGGUGCGUAGGCUGGUCCGAAAGUGCUUUGUGAAAUCCCAUGGCUCAACCAUGGAACAGCGGGGCAUACUACGGAUCUCGAGGAAGGUAGGGGCCGCCAGAACAGUAGGUGGAGCGGUGAAAUGCGUAGAUAUCUACUGGAAUGCCGAUGGUGAAGACGGGCGGCUGGGCCUUUCCUGACGCUGAGGCACGAAAGCGUGGGGAGCGAACAGG
rnacentral:rRNA from 1 species